GUAAGGUGUGUCGCGGUAUGUUUAUUAAGGUGUAUCGCGGUAUGUUCAUUUUCGCCCGCCUUUUGACAUUUAGUUUAUAUAAGAUGUAACGCUAGGAAUUCGUGUAUCGCGGUAUGUUCAUUUUCGCCCGCCUUUUGACAUUUAGGAACACGUCGAGGUCAGCGUAGUCAGAACCGUAAGUCACUGUCGCCCGAUCCAUUUUAGCCUCAGACUGGGUGACAGGACUUAUCCGCCUUCGGGCGAGUAUAUAACCGCAGCGGGGAGUGAGAACGGGGUCAGUGCCUGUACGCCGACCAGGCUGCAACGCUGCACCCGACCUCAACCACGCUGCUGGUAAGCUGGCUCGAAGGUAGGUUCCGACUACGCAGGGAUGCUGUGCGGGCUCAAGGCACAUCCCAUAGAUAGGUAGGAGCAAGCGGGUGGAGGGUUAGGCUAGCAUG